ACUGUGUGAAACUCAUCUUGAAUUUCCUCCACUGUUAUUGUGCCACUUAUCUCACAAUGAGAGUCUAUGACAUCAGGUGUGAAUAAACUCAGCCAAUAUUCAGUGCCAAGAAAAUGAAGCACUUUUUUUUCCUCCAUCACAACAAUUGAUACAUAGGAACUGCAGACCCAGUGAACUACGUGCAAAUUUAAUCAGAGGAGCAAGACUGAAUCAUCUGAUAUACCAGCAUCUCUGUCCUGCUGAAAUAGCCUGGGGCAGAUCUGCACUGGAGUUUGAAUUCCUGAUCCUGCCAACCAUUGAGCUCACCACAUGAAGUUCUUCUGCUGUUGUCAUCAGUGAGAGCUGAGGGCACUCAGCACCUGGCAGGAACUGGCACUUUGAUGGCAAGCAGGGAUAUUGCAAAGCAGGAUUAAAGUGCACUCGCUGACAGAGCUGUUUGAAGAAGCUUUCAGAGCACCUGCCCAUGCUGUGCUUGACUCUAGACUUUGCUAUCAGCCCCUCAACCUCAUUAGCACCAAAUUUAUUCUCAAAAAUAAAUAAAUAAGAGACUCUGACAGUGCUGUUUAUCUCCUGCAGCAUGCCUAAGAUGUUCCCAAGUAAUAAAAUAUGACAUUGUACUACUCUUUCUCCAACUGGGCAACGUAAGGAAAAUAAUGGUUAUGGAGGCCUUUCUGCAGAACAAGAUGAGAAAGAGUAAAAUGGGAGAAAUGCUUGA